rnacentral:rRNA from 1 species
AGCAGCCGCGGUAAUUCCAGCUCCAAUAGCGUAUAUUAAAGUUGUUGCAGUUAAAAAGCUCGUAGUUGAAUUUCGGGAUCAGUUCGUUGGUCGUGCCUCUGGUAUGUACUGGUGUUACUGGUUCCUCCCUUCUGAAGAACUGUCAUGUCAUUAAUUUGGUGUGGCGGGGAAUCAGGACUGUUACUUUGAAAAAUUAGAGUGUUUAAAGCAGGCUCGCGCUUGAAUACAUUAGCAUGGAAUAAUGAAAUAGGACGUUUGAUCCUAUUUUGUUGGUUUCUAGGAUUGACGUAAUGAUUAAUAGGGAUAGUUGGGGGCAUUAGUAUUCAAUUGUCAGAGGUGAAAUUCUUGGAUUUAUUGAAGACUAACUACUGCGAAAGCAUUUGCCAAGGAUGUUUUCAUUAAUCAAGAACGAAAGUUAGGGGAUCGAAGACGAUCAGAUACCGUCGUAGUCUUAACCAUAAACUAUGCCGACUAGGGAUCGGAUGAUGUUAAUUUUUAAUGACUCAUUCGGCGUCCG